GACGAACGCUGGCGGCGUGCCUAACACAUGCAAGUCGAACGGGGCGAUUCCUUCGGGGAUUGCUUAGUGGCGAACGGGUGAGUAACGCGUGAGAAACCUGCCUUUCAGUGGGGGACAACAGUUGGGAAACGACUGCUAAUACCGCAUAAUGUUAUUUGGGGGCAUCCCUGAAUAACCAAAGAUUUAUUGCUGAAAGAUUGGUCUCGCGUCUGAUUAGCUAGUUGGUGAGGUAACGGCUCACCAAGGCGACGAUCAGUAGCCGGUCUGAGAGGAUGAACGGCCACAUUGGGACUGAGAUACGGCCCAG
rnacentral:rRNA from 1 species